rnacentral:rRNA from 1 species
UCCGUAGGUGAACCUGCGGAAGGAUCAUUACAGAAUGAAAAGUGCUUAACUGCAUUUUUUCUUACACAUGUGUUUUUCUCUUUUUGAAAACUUUGCUUUGGUAGGCCUUCUAUAUGGGGCCUGCCAGAGAUUAAACUCAACCAAAUUUUAUUUAAUGUCAACCGAUUAUUUAAUAGUCAAAACUUUCAACAACGGAUCUCUUGGUUCUCGCAUCGAUGAAGAACGCAGCGAAAUGCGAUAAGUAAUAUGAAUUGCAGAUAUUCGUGAAUCAUCGAAUCUUUGAACGCACAUUGCGCCCUUUGGUAUUCCAAAGGGCAUGCCUGUUUGAGCGUCAUUUCUCCCUCAAACCCUCGGGUUUGGUGUUGAGCGAUACGCUGGGUUUGCUUGAAAGAAAGGCGGAGUAUAAACUAAUGGAUAGGUUUUUUCCACUCAUUGGUACAAACUCCAAAACUUCUUCCAAAUUCGACCUCUAUUCAGGUAGGACUACCCGCUGAACUUAAGCAUAUCAAUAAGCGGAGGAAAAG